rnacentral:rRNA from 1 species
UAAGGAAUAUUGCGCAAUGGACGAAAGUCUGACGCAGCGACGCCGCGUGGGGGAUGAAGGUCUUCGGAUUGUAAACCCCCUUCGGGAGGGAAGAUGGAGUGGGUAACCACUUGGACGGUACCUCCAGAAGCAGCCACGGCUAACUUCGUGCCAGCAGCCGCGGUAAUACGAAGGUGGCAAGCGUUGUUCGGGUUUACUGGGCGUACAGGGAGCGUAGGCGGUUGGGUAAGCCCUUCGUGAAAUCUCCGGGCCUAACCCGGAAAGUGCGGAGGGGACUGCUCGGCUAGAGGAUGGGAGAGGAGCGCGGAAUUCCCGGUGUAGCGGUGAAAUGCGUAGAGAUCGGGAGGAAGGCCGGUGGCGAAGGCGGCGCUCUGGAACAUUUCUGACGCUGAGGCUCGAAAGCGUGGGGAGCAAACA